rnacentral:rRNA from 1 species
UCCGUAGGCGGACUAAUAAGUCAGGGGUGAAAUACCACAGCUCAACUGUGGAACUGCCUUCGAUACUGUUAGUCUUGAAUUAUAUGGAAGUAGAUAGAAUGUGUAGUGUAGCGGUGAAAUGCUUAGAGAUUACACAGAAUACCGAUUGCGAAGGCAGUCUACUACGUAUAUAUUGACGCUAAUGGACGAAAGCGUGGGGAGCGAACAGGAUUAGAUACCCUGGUAGUCC